rnacentral:rRNA from 1 species
GAUGAACGCUGGCGGCGUGCCUAAUACAUGCAAGUCGAGCGAACGGACGAGAAGCUUGCUUCUCUGAUGUUAGCGGCGGACGGGUGAGUAACACGUGGAUAACCUACCUAUAAGACUGGGAUAACUUCGGGAAACCGGAGCUAAUACCGGAUAAUAUUUUGAACCGCAUGGUUCAACAGUGAAAGACGGUCUUGCUGUCACUUCUAGAUGGAUCCGCGCUGCAUUAGCUAGUUGGUAAGGUAACGGCUUACCAAGGCAACGAUGCGUAGCCGACCUGAGAGGGUGAUCGGCCACACUGGAACUGAGACACGGUCCAGACUCCUACGGGAGGCAGCAGUAGGGAAUCUUCCGCAAUGGGCGAAAGCCUGACGGAGCAACGCCGCGUGAGUGAUGAAGGUCUUCGGAUCGUAAAACUCUGUUAUUAGGGAAGAACAUAUGUGUAAGUAACUGUGCACAUCUUGACGGUACCUAAUCAGAAAGCCACGGCUAACUACGUG